rnacentral:rRNA from 1 species
GACGAACGCUGGCGGCGUGCUUAACACAUGCAAGUCGAACGGAAAGGCCCUGCUUUUGUGGGGUGCUCGAGUGGCGAACGGGUGAGUAACACGUGAGUAACCUGCCCUUGACUUUGGGAUAACUUCAGGAAACUGGGGCUAAUACCGGAUAGGAGCUCCUGCUGCAUGGCGGGGGUUGGAAAGUUUCGGCGGUUGGGAAUGGACUCGCGGCUUAUCAGCUUGUUGGUGGGGUAGUGGCUUACCAAGGCUUUGACGGGUAGCCGGCCUGAGAGGGUGACCGGCCACAUUGGGACUGAGAUACGGCCCAGACUCCUACGGGAGGCAGCAGUGGGGAAUAUUGCACAAUGGGCGGAAGCCUGAUGCAGCAACGCCGCGUGCGGGAUGACGGCCUUCGGGUUGUAAACCGCUUUCGCCUGUGACGAAGCGUGAGUGACGGUAAUGGGUAAAGAAGCACCGGCUAACUACGUG